AUUGAACGCUGGCGGCAUGCUUUACACAUGCAAGUCGAACGGUAACAGGCCUCAAGGUUCUGACGCGUGGCGAACGGGUGUAUAAUGCAUCGGAACGUGCCCAGACGACGGGGAUAACUACCCGCAAGAGUAGCUAAUACCGCAUACGAACUAUGGAUGACAGCGGGGGGCCGUAAGGCCUCGCGCGAUUGGAGCUGGCGAUGCAAGAUUAGGGCGAUGGUGGGGUCAAGGCUCACCAAGCCAACGAGCCGUAGCUGACCUGAGAGGACGACCAGCCACAGUGGGAGUGAGACACGGCCCAGACUGCUACGGGAGGCAGCAGUGGGGAAUUUUGGACAAUGGGCGCGAGCCUGAUCCAGCAAUGCCGCGUGCAGGAAGAAGGCCUUCGGAUUGUAAACUGCUUUUGUACGGAACGAAACGGCUCUGGUUAAUACCCAGGGCUAAUGACGGUACCGGAAGAAUAAGCACCGGCUAACUACGUG
rnacentral:rRNA from 1 species